ACGAACGCUUGCGGCAUGCCUGAGAAAUGCGAGUCGAACGGGGGGAGAGGGGCAACCCUUUCCUUCAGUGGCGAACGGUCGAGGAGCACGUAAGCCACCUGCCCGGAAGCGGGGGAUAAGCCGGCGAAAGCCGGGGUAAUACCGCAUAGCUUGGGGGGGAGCCUUCCCUUUCAAGAAAGGGCGUUUGGGGGCAACCCUGGCGCUCACUUUUGGAGGGGCUUGCGGCCUAUCAGCUAGUUGGGGGGGGUAACGGCCUCCCAAGGCGACGACGGGUAGCUGGUCUGAGAGGACGAUCAGCCGGACUGGGACUGAGACACGGCCCAGACUCCUACGGGGGGCAGCAAUCAGGGAUCUUGCACAAUGAGCGCAAGCUAGAUGCAGCGAUGCCGCGUGGGGGAGGAAGUCCUUCGGGAUGUAAACCCCUUUUCGGGGGGACGAUGAUGACGGUACCCCCGGAAGAAGCCCCGGCUAACUACGUGCCAGCAGCCGCGGUAAUACGUAGGGGGCGAGCGUUGUCCGGAAUUACUGGGCCGUAAAGGGCGCGCAGGCGGCCGCUUAAGGCUACGGUGAAAGCCCGGGGCUCAACCCCGGAAGGGCCGUGGCGACUGGGGGGCUGGGGGCUCGGAGAGGAGCGGGGAAUUCCGGGUGGAGCGGUGGAAUGCGUAGAGAUCCGGAGGAACACCGAUGGCGAAGGCACCGCUCUGGCCGAGACCCGACGCUGAGGCGCGAAAGCGGGGGGAGCGAACGGGAUUAGAUACCCCGGUAGUCCCCGCCGUAAACGAUGACGACUAGGUGUGGGGGGGUCCCCCCUCCGUGCCGGAGCUCACGCAUGAAGUCGUCCGCCUGGGGAGUACGGCCCGCAAGGUUGAAACUCAAAGGAAUUGACGGGGGCCCGCACAAGCGGUGGAGCAUGGGGUUUAAUUCGUCACUAACCGAAGAACCUUACCCAGGCUUGGCAUCCUCCGGCAGUCGGUGAAAGCCGAUCUUCCCCGCGAGGGGACGGAGAGACAGGUGUUGCAUGGCUGUCGUCAGCUCGUGUCGUGAGAUGUUGGGUUAAGUCCCGCAACGAGCGCAACCCUCACUGCCUGUUGCCAGCUUGAAAGAGCGCACUCAGGCGGAACGGCCGGGGCAACCCGGAGGAAGGCGGGGAUGACGUCAAGUCGGCAUGGCCCUUACGCCUGGGGCUACACCCAUGCUACAAUGGGCCGGACAGAGGGGGGCGAAGGGCGACCCGGAGCGAAUCCCACAAACCGGCUCUCAGUUGGGAUUGGGGUCUGCAACUCGACCCCAUGAACGCGGAAUCGCUAGUAACCGCCGGUCAGCCAAACGGCGGUGAAUCCGUUCCCGGGCCUUGUACACACCGCCCGUCACGUCACCUGAGUCUGCCGCACCCGAAGCGUCUGGCCGAACCCCACACCCGUGGGGACGGAGGAGGCGAAGGUGUAGCCGGUAAGGGGGACG
rnacentral:rRNA from 1 species